rnacentral:rRNA from 1 species
UACGUAGGGUGCAAGCGUUAAUCGGAAUUACUGGGCGUAAAGGGUUUGUAGGUGGCCACUUAAGUCAGACGUGAAAUCCCUCAGCUUAACUGGGGAACUGCGUCUGAUACUGAGUGGCUUGAGUGCAGGAGAGGAACGCGGAAUUCCAGGUGUAGCGGUGAAAUGCGUAGAUAUCUGGAGGAACACCGGUGGCGAAGGCGG